GGAGAAUUACCCAUAUGGACAAACUAAUAAUGCAAAAUGGCUUCUUUGGGCAUACCGAAGGCACCAAAAAAGUUUCAGUCGGAUUAAAAAAUACAAAAAAAAUCGAAUGACCGAAAUCCUAGAGAACUGCUCAGGAGAAACCGACCUUUCCCUAAAUUGCCGGAUAUUAUUUUAAAAGUUUGCUUGAGAACGGCAAAGUUUCCUGUCCCCAAAGUGAUUGUUUUUUUGCCUGUCAACUGUCAAACAAAGGUGUACAAAUUUAGGUCAUAUUUUUUGUCAAUAUGUUUUACCAGUAUAUCAAUAACUACUUCAACAUGUUAAUGAAUGGUAAAACGUUACUUAAUCUACCGUAUGGUGGUUGAUGCAUUUCUCUCGAUAGGAUUCGAACUGACGACCUUUGGAUUGUGAGUACAACUGCCUACCAGCGACUCCACCGAGGAAGGACCAAUGGACGACUCCUACACUUGGACUAAGCUAAGGAUCUAGAUUAGGUCUGAACCAAUGUUCACUUCCCCAUCCGACGGAUAAGACAAAUCUUGACUCGAAAAAAGCCACCGGGUCUGACUGGGGCUGAAGCCAGGCCAGCUGGCCAUCUGUUGAGUGACACCGAAACACUUAUUUUAAGGAAAGAUAAGAAAAACUUGUAACACGCAUUAUCCCUCCCAAAGAAUUUUAGAAAUUUUAAUUUAUAAACAUACGUAAUUUUUCAUUUUAAUUACCGCCAACCCUAUUUAAGGAGACUGUUUACAUAUUUACACAAUUUAUGCAACUCGUUUACGCUAGGGAAUAAGUUGAAAACAAAAAUAAACCAGUAGCAACGGUCAAUUCAAAAAUUAUGCCACUUGUUCAAAAUCAGAUUAGUGUGCGUGACCUGUAGCGUGUGUUAUACAACAUUAUCUUGUCUAAUAUUCAAAGUUAACAGUGUAGUAACUUCAGGCAUCCACGCUAGGUGGUGAUACUGAUACGAACAAAUUUCGGAACCAUGUUUUGAAUUGGACUUGGCUCCAUAUGCCUUCGUCGAGCCAAUUCUCUACGUUGAAACCAGACUUGUCCUCCAGACCUCUUCGCCGAGCCAUGCCAGACCCCGAACUCCUAAGUCCCGGGUGGACUCUUCUCUGCGGCUAAGUCCCGACGGACUCUUCACGGCGGCUAAGUCCCGGCGGACUUCUCAAACGGCUAAGUCCCGGGUGGACUCUUCACGGCAGCUAAGUCCCGACGGACUCUUCACGGCGGCUAAGUCCCGGCGGACUGCGGCCUCCACCGCUAAGUCCGGCUGGACUGGAGCCUCUGCUACUGGUGGCUGCUGGCGGGUCCGGCUGGUCUGGGGCUUCUUCAGGAUCUGGAACUGGACUGGGCUUGAACUGGCUGGAACUGACUGGAACUAACUGCCCUCCUCAAGAAUUUUGGGGUUUUUAUAGUCAGUCCCCGAAAACUCUACUAAAUUUUGUUCUACUAAAAGUGGUCCGUUUCGAUGAGAAGCAUCGAUGAACCUCAUGAAUUAAAUUAUGCAGACCUCUGCAAUUCUUCAUGACUUUCCGUAUGGUGUAGUGAGUACACCUAAAAAUCGGAAGUCAUGGGUUCGAACCAUUGUCGUGAAACUUUAAAUUAUGUUAUUGGAACAUCAAAAUUAUGUUCCUAAAACAUUCUCAAAAAUGUUGGUCAAUAAUGAGAAGGUCGAAUUCUCCAUUGAACAAACAUGCCAAUGAAUUUGGUUAAGCCACACCCUCAAUUUCCCCUGUGUAAUAACAUCGCACAUUCAUAAUUGAAAGCUUAACCAUUUUUUUGAUUGCCUAACAAUUGGCGAAAUUUAAUAAAGGGCUUUUCAGGUGAGGAUGACUCAUGAUCCACACCUGUACAUAAGCUUAAUUAUUUGUCGCGCAACGCGAGUCGACGGGUAAAAUUAUUUAUGCUUGCGUAACCGCGCAUGGUCAGAACUGUGGUGAGGAUCGAAAAAUGGACAAAUUUAAUGAUUUAAAUUUGAGGUCGCUGCACUUGGUGAAAGCCCUAUUUUGGUCAAAAAUAUUGUUUAACUUGAAUAUUUUUCCAUAUAAAAAUAAAUAAAUUAGAGCAAACAGCUAAGUAGAUGUCAUCUACUCAAAUCUACCCAUAAGCACACCCCUGGGACCAUUGUUGAUUCAUCGUAAAAUGUAUUUUUUUAGCAUUAAAUUAAAAAAAAGUGAUCAGAAAUGAUUCAUGAGCGUAUUUUUUACCGUUGGACACAAACAUCGUCAUUGGGCUUUAGAACCAUUGCAAUGGAGUACCCGCAGUCGAGCAGUUUUUGACAGUUCGCUCUAUAAGAAAUACAUUGUAGAAAAAAGCAAAAACUGCUCGAAUGGAAAUGCUCCAUUGACAAAAACAAUGGAGUACCCGCAGUCGAGCAGUUUUUGACAGUUCGCUCCAUAAGAAAUACAUUGUAGAAAAAAGCAAAAACUGCUCGAAUGGAAAUGCUCCAUUGCAAUUACAUUUUAAACAAUUCUGGAGUUUUUUUUGUUUUUUUUGAAAAGGUCCAAUAAACCAAAUUUUUAGUUUUUGCUUUUUGGAUGUUUUUUUAAUACCCCUGACUGAAGGCGGCAUCGUUCGCAUCAUGCCUGUUUUUAAUGUAACUAUCAAGUGACUUAAACAGCAUUCAAUGUUUUUGGAUAUCUUAUAAAAAUUUGCAAAAAUAAUGCUAGGAUUAGAAUCGACGUUUAAAUUUCAACAGUCAUUCAAAAACUAUUCAAUUUUAAAUUCUUGACUUAUUUUCAUUCCUUAUGUCCAUCAGAGUAAUCGGGAUAAAUUCAAUGUUUACAUUUGUUUAUAGAACCUUAUAAAAAAUCUAGAAUUGUUAUAUGUAAUUUUAAAAAUCUACUGAAAAAAUCUUUUAAAAAGACAAACUUAUUUUGUCAAUCUUGGGGGGUCAAUGUGGAUCUGGAUAGGUAAACAAGCAGCCCAUUCUCCUCAUGUUAAUUGUAAACAUACACUGACGUAGGUAGGAUAGACAGCGAGGGGUGAGACACACCUAAUCAAUUAUCGUAUCACUAAUCAACUAUCGUAAUUGUUGGUUGAUUAGCUAAUUGAUUAGCGAUUAUUUGACAUACUGUUCCCACCGCGCGUCUCCUGAUCUUGGUAUCUCGAGUGAAGUCAUUUUGACAGAUGAAGUUUCCGCAUAAACAACAGUCAAGAGAUCAUUUUAAGGAAAUUUUGUCGGAGAUGGCUGCGGAUGUGGAACCAGUACUUCGAGUUCCUGUGGAUCAACCGGAUGAGGUCAUAAGACUGUUAGAGCGAAAUCUUUUGGUAAGAGUUUUCGUUUUUUGUUGAACUCAAACAAGGAACUGAUUAUUUCGUCAUUCCCCCAGGAGCUGUGGCUUGAUCGCUGACGACGACUGCUUCCUUACGCGCCGAAGGAGGACAAUCAGCCCGACACGAACGGUGAAGAGAUCCAGCUGAAUGCGAAGCAGAUUCUGGACCCUCUGCAGCGCGUCUGAAUGAUGAAAAAAGUAUCCGUCUAACUCUUGCCAUACGCGGAACCGAUCCCGGACAUUGUGCUGUGCCAGCUCUGGCUAGUCCAGCUGCUUGAAUGUGGAUCCGCGACUACAGGCAAAUGUACGACGUUUUGCUGAAGGCAACAUAACAGGUGAGCACAAUCUCUUGACUUUGAACGAUUAAAAGCAAGUUGAACAACAAUUCCGAAAAUAAUUUAGGUCUUGCUGGCCGAUGGGAAACUGCUGAUGGCGGAGGCAACCGGAACACCGAAUGACACUACUUCCCCGGAUGUGGUACAGCAAGCAUCGGCUCAAUCACAGCAACAUCUGCUCCCGCGUCCUGCUGCGUCGUUUAGCCGGAAGUACACUCGUCCUGGCUGGAGGUUACCGGCGAAUACAGCGACAUACAGUCUGUCGGAUAAUCCUACAACGAUUGCAGGCAGAGUGAAAGUCGUUUUAAAGCGCUCCCACUGUCAGGCCAGUCUUGCGGCCCAAUUUGGAAACCCCAAUGGAUAAGUUCACCAUCAGUCCCGUUCGUGAGGCCGUUUUCUGUCCAACUCGGUCACCCGCGGGAGUAGUGGAUGUGAUUUCUGAUGACUUCCGUUGCAACUCCGCGGCCAAUGGUCACGUCAGAUCUGGAAAUGCUGCCGGCAACCAAAAACGUCAGCCUCAAGAGAAUGGUUACGAAUGAUGCACGUUGCAAGAGACCACAGUUGGCGUCCGGUUUGCAGCUAAGCAACAGCUUAAAGACACGAUCCGCCUCGCGCUCGGCCCGCCCAUUAAGAUGGUGAGGAACCCGCGUGUCCCAUGUCCGGUGAUGGACACCGCGAGGCUAUCGAGGAGUUCGAUAGAGAGGAGCUAGGAGCGAAUAGAGAGCGCUGUUGAGCGGAAAUGAGAAGGCGCAAGACCGAGCCACACUCUGCCGAGAAUGAAAAAUGUUUAUUUCAUGAUAUGUAAUUGAAUGUUAAUAAAAUAAAAAUUAUGUUGUGUGCCUCUCUCUCUGGGCGGCACGAUGUUGGGGUUCACGAUGGCAAGUCGCUUCCUUGUCGUUGAUUUGGGACGAGAACGGAAGGAAUUUAGCAGGAAGAAAUAAGCUAUCUAGGCAAGUCUCUGUGAUUUAGGCCAACUCUUAACGGUUCCCGGUGUGUACAAAAUUCGCCGGUUUUCGUUUCGGUACAUUGAAGAUCGAGAAGCAGCCGAUUCCGUAGCGCUUCUGGAACGUGAGGUGGUUUAGUUGGAAGCACAUCCGGUCACCGAAGGAGGGGACCUUAGCCGUCAUCUGGAUCAACCAGCUAAGCUUCCGGCACUUGCCUAUUUCAAGGAAACCGUUUCUGUGACCAAAGCUAACGCCUACAUCUGAAUCGACGAAAUGGCCGGCGAACUGGAAAAAAAAGUUGAACCGUCUGCUUCCGACUGCACAAAUCGCUUCCAAAUCGGACCAACUGGAAGUGCUCACCGGCACAACAUGUUGCACGAGGACGUCACAAUCAAAUACGGCCACAACCGCAUCCCAGCGCCAUGAUGGACCUGGACCGCCCUGGAAUCUUACAUUCGAAUCCAUCCGGUUUCAAAAAGUGACCUAUACUGCGCUUCCGUUGUCCCGUGAAGAUUAUUUGGACGAUAGUGGCAAUCUUUCUGUUUCCAGGCGUCACCGAAUUAACCGAUAGAUUAGUCGAUUCCUGAAUCCGAGUGAAAAUUGUGCUUAAAAUAUAUUUUUGGUUAGAUUCCUUCGUAAAAUAGCCUCGUUUGUUUUGGUGGUUUUGGUUUUCUGACGUUUGUUCGACAGGCCAAGAUAAAAUAAAAUGGUGGGAAUACUCUAAUUGAUUAGCGUAACCUUAAUCAACUAACUAAUAAUUUCUAAUCAAUUAGUCGAAUAUUAUAAUUGAUUAGAGCAUGUGUCUCACCCCUCGAUAGACAGCUUAUUUGCAAAUCUUCAUUUCCAGAGUUUUUUUUAAAGGUCCUAUAACCUAUUGUCUUUUAUACGUUUAUAGGACCUAUUCAAAAAAAGUCGAGAUUUGCCCAGUUGUAUUGUUUUGCUUGAAUUUAUGGCAAAUUACACCUAAAAAGGUUGUAAAUAUCAUAAACGUGUACUUCUCACAAGAAUUUACUACAGACUGUCUAGGGGAAACAGACUGGCCGAUGCAAAUAAAUAGGCACUGGCAACGUAUGUUUUAUGCUUGCAACACUGCCAGUUUUGCUGGGCGUAAAGGGCGUUUGGUGUCCAGCGCGUUUGGAUCUGUCAAACAUUGGCCAAACUGUUUCCUAGACAAACUGUAGAAUUUACCACUGAAUUAUUGUAAUAAUUCUGCACCGUGUAUUGUUUUGAUUUCGAAAACAAAAAAAAACGUCGGUCGGCGAACGUCGGUUACCAGGAUUCAAAAGUAUGUUGAUGGGUAUUUUAAAGGUAAAUUUUAAUCAAUCUAAUGCUUCUUUCAUAGUCCCAUGAUGUCCCCGGCUAUCGUCAACGACCCGACUUCCUCCGCCCUCAAAAUGGUGCAUUUCGCCAACCCGGACUCGGCGAAGCAGAUCUGGAAUAAAGCAAUAGUUCGGCGGGGUCGAGCCGCUCACCAAGGAGCACGUCGGCAUAUAUUUUAUGACCCCGGCUAGUGAUAGUCACUUGCGCCAGCCAACAUUAGUUCUUGUAUUGUGACUUUACACAACCCGAAGCAGCAGUCGCCGGGGAAGGUGAUGGCCAUAAUCGUCGAUUGCCAACCUUGUCAAAUCUCCACUUGGCCCGGUCGGGUUGGACGAAAUUCUUAUGGAGGGCAACGAGACUAUCAUCAACGAGCUCAGCUUAUCGAUUGUCAUAAUCGCCGCUGGGUUGCUAAAAAACGCCGGCUGGCCGCCGAUCACCUGGCCGCACCAGAUGGACAAGUUAGGUCGUAAAACGCCCAUCAACGAGCUGAUCCUGAUAAGCAGGGCUGCGGAGUCGGGUCAUAUUUCAAACGACUCCGACUCCGACUCCGACUCCGGCUUUCUCAGACUAGCCGACUCCGACUCCGACUCCGACUCCGGCUCCGGCUUUCAACAAAUGGUUGGCUCCGACUCCGACUCCGACUCCGGCCUACCAACUCUAGCCGACUCCGACUCCGACUCCGACUCCAGCUUUCAACAAAUGGUUGGCUCCGACUCCGACUCCGACUCCACAUAUUUUUAAAUGUUUCAAAAGUUAGUCAACUAUUAUUAGCUAAUUAUUUUUAAAACAUUGAUAAAAAGGAUUAUUCAAAUACUCUCUAAGCGUCAAGUUUUUC